rnacentral:rRNA from 1 species
CCUACGGGAGGCAGCAGUGAGGAAUAUUGGUCAAUGGGCGGGAGCCUGAACCAGCCAAGCCGCGUGAAGGAAGAAGGCGCCAAGCGUCGUAAACUUCUUUUGUCGGGGAACAAAGGGCGCCACGUGUGGCGUUGUGAGUGUACCCGAAGAAAAAGCAUCGGCUAACUCCGUGCCAGGAGCCGCGGUAAUACGGAGGAUGCGAGCGUUAUCCGGUUUUAUUGGGGUAAAAGGGUGCGUAGGCGGUCCGGAAAGUCAGCGGUAAAAGCCCGGGGCUCAACCCCGGCGAGCCGUUGAAACUGUCGGACUAGAGACGGCGAGAAGUACGCGGAAUUCGUGGUGUAGCGGUGAAAUGCAUAGAUAUCACGAAGAACCCCGAUUGCGAAGGCAGCAUACCGGCUCCACACUGACGCUGAGGCACGAAAGCGUGGGUAUCGAACAGGAUUAGAUACCCCUGUAGUC